rnacentral:rRNA from 1 species
GGGCCCGCACAAGCAGUGGAUUAUGUGGUUUAAUUCGAAGCAACGCGAAGAACCUUACCAGGGCUUGACAUCCAACUAACGAGGCAGAGAUGCGUUAGGUGCCCGCAAGGGAAAGUUGAGACAGGUGGUGCAUGGUUGUCGUCAGCUCGUGUCGUGAGAUGUUGGGUUAAGUCCCGCAACGAGCGCAACCCUUAUUGCUAGUUGCUACGCGAGAGCACUCUAGCGAGACUGCCGUUGACAAAACGGAGGAAGGUGGGGACGACGUCAAAUCAUCAUGCCCCUUAUGUCCUGGGCUACACACGUAAUACAAUGGCGCAAAACAGAGUGAAGCGAAGCCGCGAGGUGGAGCGAAUCGCUAAAAGGCGUCUCAGUUCGGAUUGCAGGCUGCAACUCGCCUGCAUGAAGUCGGAAUUGCUAGUAAUCGCGGAUCAGCAUGCCGCGGUGAAUACGUUCCCGGGCCUU